rnacentral:rRNA from 1 species
GGCCUAACACAUGCAAGUCGAGCGCAGCGGCGGGGCAACCCUGGCGGCGAGCGGCGGACGGGUGAGGAAUGCAGUCGGAAUCUACCUCGUUGGUGGGGAUAACCUCGGGAAACCGGGACUAAUACCGCAUACGACCGUACGGGUGAAAGUGGGGGACCUUCGGGCCUCACGCGAUGAGAUGAGCCGAUGCCGGAUUAGCUAGUUGGCGGGGUAAAGGCCCACCAAGGCGACGAUCCGUAGCUGGUCUGAGAGGAUGAUCAGCCACACUGGAACUGAGACACGGUCCAGACUCCUACGGGAGGCAGCAGUGGGGAAUAUUGGACAAUGGGCGCAAGCCUGAUCCAGCCAUGCCGCGUGUGUGAAGAAGGCCUUCGGGUUGUAAAGCACUUUUGUUGGGGAAGAAACCGGUCGGAUUAAUACUUCGGCUGAAUGACGGUACCCAAAGAAUAAGCACCGGCUAACUUCGUG